UCUAUUGCUAACAAUAUUUUGAGAAGAAUUGACAACCUUUCUUGUCCAGAAUUAAAAAAUUGUAGAAGCCUACUAAGGUUUAUUUUACAGGAUUUAACGAACUGAUCUGGUGUGAUCAAGAAUUUAUGGUGCUAGUCAUAAGUUUCUGUUAGCAUGAUACUAUAGUGGAUAAUCUUACACAAGGUGUGGGGACUGAAAGUAGCCGAGUUUGGUGAACUAUGAUAAAUCUCAGGUGGUUUGAGGAAUAUAAUGGAAAUAAUAAAGAGAAGACAGUGCAAAGCAGGAAAGAUGCAUCAAUUCACAAUUAUAUAGCACAAUAAAAACAACAACCUAAGCAGUUUCCACGCACUCUGAUUCAGAAAAUGUCACUCCUUUUUUCUUCAUUUUAUUUAUGAGAUUAUUAUUCUCAUUAUUGUGCUUUGAUGUUUGAAUUUAUACUGUUGUA
rnacentral:lncRNA from 1 species